GGACUUAACAAGCAGCUGGAACUUGUUCUCACUGGCGCUAACAGAAAAACAGCUUUAUAAACCAUUGCUGUAUGCUGUUGAACAAAGAUGCCCGAUUCAUGCUUUAAAAGGAGGCUCCUGGAAGAACAGCCUGAAGACACUGUCUCAGAUCAAAAGCAGCCUCAAAAGGACAUCUUUUUCAAAUUCAAUUACUGACUCUGGGGACUUACAUGGAGGAGUUAUGGUUAUGAAGAAGAAAAGAUCAACCACUUGGAUCUGAAGAUGUUUACAGCAUUAAGAUAGAUGGAUUAUACAAGGUCGGAUCCUAAUAUUUUCUCUUCUGAUGAGACAAUUUAAAAAGAUAAGUGCCGAUUUUUGCUUUCAGAGUCAUCAGCUCUGUAUUUUUCCCCUUGUCUCCUGACAUUCUCUUGGAUUUGUGGUGUUAAUUACAUUCCACUAACCUUGGCUUCUAGAAUGCCAAGACUCUUAGCUGCUAAGAUCCACAAAUAACAUCAAUUAGAUAAAUGGGGCGUUUCCACUCUCUCAUGCAACCCUGUUGGAUCUGCAAGUGCAGCGCUAAUAACUCCUAGGAUUCUGCUGCAUGGUCCUGACUUCAAAUAUUUUGAGAAUGAAUGUAAAUUAGAGUAUUUUGACUUUUAGUUUGAAUAAUAUAAUCACUAUACAUAUAUGAAAUAUUAAAACUUUGAAAUAAAAAUUGUUCUCAUUUUGAAACUCCA
rnacentral:lncRNA from 1 species